rnacentral:tRNA from 1 species
GUCAGGAUGGCCGAGUGGUCUAAGGCGCCAGACUUAAGGUUCAAAAUCUUCUCUAUAAAUGGGGCUUCUGGUCUCUGAAUAGAGGCAUAGGUUCAAAUCCCACUUCUGACA